GACGAACCGUCCUAACGUUGUUCGGAAUCACUGGGCUUAAAGCGCGCGUAGGCGGCUUUGCAAGUCGGGUGUGAAAUCCCCAGGCUUAACCUGGGAACUGCAUUCGAGACUGCAUUGCUAGAGUAUGGGAGAGGGAAGUGGAAUUUCCGGUGUAGCGGUGAAAUGCGUAGAUAUCGGAAGGAACAUCAGUGGCGAAAGCGACUUCCUGGACCAAUACUGACGCUCAUGUGCGAAAGCGUGGGGAGCAAACAGG
rnacentral:rRNA from 1 species